rnacentral:misc_RNA from 1 species
AAGAUUCGACCUUCGGGUCUAUCUUCUCUUCAGCUGUGCGCUUCGGCUGCACGCUGUUGAAUCUCACACACCUGUGCACACUUCGGUUGCAGUCGGUUAAUUCUGGCUGCUUCCCGCUUUUACAUUUAACUACAAAGUCUAGAAUGUCUAAUACUAUAAAAAUAA